UCGGGGAUCGUCCAAUGGCAGGACCACGGCCUUUGGAGUCGUUAAUCUAGGUUCGAAUCCUGGUCCCCGAG
rnacentral:tRNA from 1 species